rnacentral:rRNA from 1 species
GACGAACGCUGGCGGCGUGCUUAACACAUGCAAGUCGAGCGGUAAGGCCCUUUCGGGGGUACACGAGCGGCGAACGGGUGAGUAACACGUGGGUGACCUGCCCUCAGCUCUGGGAUAAGCCUGGGAAACCGGGUCUAAUACUGGAUAUGACUCCAUGACGCAUGUUGUGGGGUGGAAAGCCUUGUGCGGCUGAGGAUGGGCCCGCGGCCUAUCAGCUUGUUGGUGGGGUGAUGGCCUACCAAGGCGACGACGGGUAGCCGGCCUGAGAGGGCGACCGGCCACACUGGGACUGAGACACGGCCCAGACUCCCACGGGAGGCAGCAGUGGGGAAUCUUGCGCAAUGGGCGAAAGCCUGACGCAGCGACGCCGCGUGAGGGAUGACGGCCU